rnacentral:rRNA from 1 species
AUGCUUCCAAAAAGCCCUAUACCCGUUAAGGCAUCAUGGCCUGUACCCGAAACCGACACAGGUGGGGUGGUAGAGAAUACCGAGGGGCGCGAGGUAACUCUCUCUAAGGAACUCGGCAAAAUGGCCCCGUAACUUCGGGAGAAGGGGUGCCACCGCAAGGUGGUCGCAGUGAAGAGGCCCAGGCGACUGUUUACCAAAUACACAGGUCUCCGCUAAGUCGCAAGACGAUGUAUGGGGGCUGACGCCUGCCCAGUGCCGGAAGGUUAAGGAAGCUGGUCAGCGCAAGCGAAGCUAGCGACUGAAGCCCCGGUGAACGGCGGCCGUAACAAUAACGGUCCUAAGGUAGCGAAAUUCCUUGUCGGGUAAGUUCCGACCCGCACGAAAGGCGUAACGAUCUGGGCGCUGUCUCGGAGAGAGGCUCGGCGAAAUAGAAUUGUCUGUGAAGAUGCGGACUACGUGCACCCGGACAAAAAGACCCUAUGAAGCUUUACUGUAGCUUGGUAUUGUGCCCGGGCCCGCAAUGCGCAGGAUAGGUGGGAGGCUUUGAUCAUCGGCUUGCGGGUCGAUGUGAGCCAACGGUGAGAUACCACUCUUUGCGAGCUAGGGUUCUAACGGCCACCCGUCAUCCGGGGGCCGGACAGUACCUGGUGGGCAGUUUGACUGGGGCGGUCGCCUCCUAAAAGGUAACGGAGGCGCGCAAAGGUUUGCUCAGGCUGGUUGGAAAUCAGCCGACGAGUGUAAAAGCAGAAGCAAGCUUGACUGUGAGACCAACAAGUCGAACAGGGAGGAAACUCGGCUUUAGUGAUCCGACGGUUCUGAGUGGAAGGGCCGUCGCUCAACGGAUAAAAGUUACUCUAAGGAUAACAGGCUGAUCUCCCCCAAGAGUUCACAUCGACGGGGAGGUUUGGCACCUCGAUGUCGGCUCAUCGCAACCUGGGGCUGAAGUCGGUCCCAAGGGUUGGGCUGUUCGCCCAUUAAGGCGGUACGCGAGCUGGGUUCAGAACGUCGUGAGACAGUUCGGUCCAUAUCCGGUGCACGCGCAGGAAUAUUGAGAGGAUUUCUCCCUAGUACGAGAGGACCGGGAGGAACGCACCUCUGGUGUACCGGUUAUCGUGCCAACGGUAAACGCUGGGUAGCCAUGUGCGGAGUGGAUAACCGCUGAAAGCAUCUAAGUGGGAAGCCCACCUCAAGAUGAGUAUUCCCAUGGCGUAAGCCAGUAAGGUCACGGGAAGAACACCCGUUGAUAGGCUCUAUGUGGAAGCGCAGUAAUGCGUGAAGCAGAGGAGUACUAAUAGACCGAGGGCUUGACC